AUCUGGUUGAUCUUGCCAGUAGCAUAUGCUUGUCUGAAAGAUUAAGCCAUGCACGUCUCGGUACAUGCUGACAUAAGACGAAACUGCAAAUGGCUCAUUAAAUUAGUCACGGUUCAUUACUUGGAUAACUGUGGCAAUUCUUGAGUUACUACAUGCCGCUAAGCUCCUACACCCUGAUGGGAAAACAAACGAUUUUAUAAGAUUCUACCCACACAGGCAUCUAUAGGCUGAAAACGUAAACGAAGCUGAGUAUCUUGGCAGAUCGCAGGGGCCAGUCCCAGCAAAGUAUCUUUCAAGUGUCUGCCUUAUCAACUGGAGACGGUAAAUGAUACGCACAACAUGGUCGCCACAGAUGGCGAGAAAUCUGCGUUCGAUACCAUAGAGGGAGCCUGAGAAACGGCUACCACAUCUAAAGAAGGCAGCAGAUACGCAAAUUACACAAUUCUGACUCGAGGAGGUAAUGACAAAAAAUAGCAACACUGGACACUUCGAGACCCAGUCCUCGAAAUGAGUACGCUCUAAACCCUCUACCGAGUACCUACUGCAGAGCAAGACUAAUGUCAGCCACUGCAGUAAUUUUAGCUCUAAUGGCGUAUACCAGUGUU